rnacentral:rRNA from 1 species
ACACGACUACAUUAGAUACCCCUGUAGUCCAGGGUGUAAACGCUGCGGGCUUGGUGUUGGGGGGUCCUUUGAGGGCGCCCAGUGCCGGAGAGAAGUUGUUAAGCCUGCUGCUUGGGGAGUACGUCCGCAAGGAUGAAACUUAAAGGAAUUGGCGGGGGAGCACCGCAACGGGAGGAGCGUGCGGUUCAAUUGGAUUCAACGCCGGACAACUCACCAGGAGCGACGGUUACAUGAAGGCCAGGCUGAUGACCUUGCCUGAUUUUCCG